ACUCGAGACGCCGCUAACUCUACGGUAGUGCCAGCGCGCAUAUGAUAAAAUGGUCGGUGUUGUCAGUCAUUACAGACGCCAGUGCUGACACCCUUUAUUAUUUGAUCUUUCAGCUGCACGAGAGGAAAGUCAUCAACGUGACAUCCAAGCCAGGACUGCACAUCUGGAUGAGUGAUUAUUAGCAAGGAAAACGAUGAAACCAUCUGUGACAGCUCAAAAUGGGAAACCUCAUCCCUGCAAUGGAACAUGAAUGAUACUGAGCAGAGAAAUCUUUAGGUGCAGGGAGCCGGCCUGCAGGAGGUAGCGGUAGCUCUCCAUCUCUUCCUCCUUGCUCUUGGACAUGGACUCCUCCUGCAGCGAGGCCGGGCCCAUUCCCCCCUGCUACAGCCGGACCAGAACCAGACAGCAGAGUAAUCCGAGGCCUCACAUCCUCCUCACACUUCUACAUCGCGCAGUGGAUGAUGGCAUCUCCCCUGGCCCUGCUAGAUGCUGGAACUUGUUGACCUUGAGCUGCAUGCAGUGUCACACACACACAGUAGAAACACACAGGAAAUGAGCUGGUUCUUUUCCUGUCCCAGCACUCACAACAAAAUCCGUCUGAUCGCUGCUGGCUGCCGAGCUGUUUUUGCCCGUCCCCUGACUUUUCUCUCUCUCUCUCUCUCUCUCUCUCUCUCUCUCUCUCUCUCUCUCUCUCUCUCUCUCUCUCUUUGGGCUUUAGUGCGUCAGCUCUGCACUAAAAAGUCCUGACGCUGAGCCAAUUCCCCUCCCUACUUCUCACUGUAAUUCAUGCUUCUAUGUUUGACAGCUUCCAAGGGAGCUACAGCGGCUGCAAGUUUCCGCAUGGUCACCAAAAACGAGGCAAGUGCAGAAAAUAGAUCUUCUGUAAGAGCACAUGAAAGUCAAACACACCCUCGGCCAUCGAGCGCGGCCUACGAUACACAACAAUCACAUUCAGAGAGUGUGAAAGGGUGUCAUUGUGCACACACCGACACAGAGCCUUUUCUCUCCCCCCUGUUCAAGGCGGCUCGGCCUAAAAGAUGAUGGAUCAGCAGUGUUUGCACUUCCUGUUCGCUGGAGGAGUCCUAGAUGGGGGGGCAGUCGCACACUUGAUCCAGCUUAGCCUGCCUUGCCAUCUCAUUAUGGCACAGCAUCUGCUUAGCACUCAAGGUACACACACACACAAGAUAUGUUGACGCUUGUGCUUCGGACGGAAAAAGGAUCCUGGGUGCGGAGCACUUGGAACCGGGGUGGGCAGACUGUGGCCCAUGGGCCACAUCAGGCCCGCCGAGCGUCUUAAUCCAGCCCACUAUUUCCAAAUUCCUUUUUUUUUUAAACAUUUAACAUCAAAACUGUAGCUGGCAACAUGACUUUCAGUGCCAUUGUGGCACGCUUGAGUCGCCUAAAUAGUCCCAUGCAAUCUGUAGCAAUCCAAACACAGCACGUCCACACACACACAACACACAAGUAACCUACCUACUGCACCAUGUGGGCAUACAAAUGUCUAUAUGCAAUACCCAUGCCAAAAAACACCCAUAUAUUCCUGCCGCAAGGCAUGCUGGGUAGCUUUUGGUACUCUUCUAGCAUUUUCGCUAGAUUGCAAAAUGUUGAGGUUGUGAGAGAAUUGAACAAGGAGUUGUUGACAUUCUCUUGAUAUCCAACGUUGUAUUGUUCAUACUUCACAUUGUCUUGCAACUCAAAUACCCAGCAUGCCUUGCGGGCAUUUGGAGCGUUUAAAGUUACAUGUUAUGUUUAGCGCUUAGUUGUUGAUUUACGUGUUGCGUGAACUUGCUGUGGAUGUAUUUUCGUUUGUUACGCCGUGAGCAAGUGUGUCGUGCUUGAUGCCACCUGCAUAUAGACGGGCCCUUUGGCAAAUGUUUUAACCCAAUGUGGAUUCAAAACGACUAAAAUUGUGCAUCAUACCGUUUCUACAAGAUGUGUCAGAAAAGUGACAGGACUGUUCAUGCUGAUCGCAUUCUUCCACGUGAGGGGCAUCGGCCACUGGCAGUUGUUGCCACAGGACCAGACGAUGAGCCAGUACGUCUACGAAGAGAUCCUGUAGCGUUUGCGUCUUUCCGUGCGCCAGAAGAGGUGAGAGUUGUGGCAGGACAACUUGUAGCUGCCCACAAUGCCCAGAGUGUCCAUCCAGCAGUUCCUUCACCCAACCUGGCUGAAGCUCAAGAUGGUCAUCAAGGGGACCCGUUUCAAGACGCGGAUGACAUCAAGAUGGCCUUGACAACCAAGCUGCGAAGAAUCCUUCCAGGAGUGCAUGAAGGCUGAGAAAGUACCUCAGAUUACUUUGAAGGGGAAAACUCCUAGUUUGGAUUUGAAAUGGAUCAGACAUCAGUCCUGGACGUUUAUGACACACCUCGUAUCUUCUGCUUUAUUUACCAGCUUAGAUUUCCCAAAAACUCUUUUUCAUUGCGGGCCUCAUAACAGCUUUGGUUGCUUUCAGGGGGCCACCUAUAAUCAUCCAGGGGCCUCACUUGUAAAACCGUGCAUGGAAAUCUGACUAAAAGUCUGCGUACGCCAUAAGCCCAUCAUGUGCGUACGGACAAAAAUACUCAGACCUAAAAAGAAAGUGAUGUACGCACACGGUCACUCAAUUUGUGCUUCACCUGCUGUCCAAAUGUGCGUACGCAACCCCACCCCCACGUCACACCUUCUAUUCACCAUAAAUGGUCUGCAAAGUGGCUCAAGAAUGCGGCGUCCAUAUUUAAUGACCCUUGAUUGCAUUUUGCUUGGUUCUUCUGAAUCAUGGCUGCAGAGAAGACAAAGAAGCAGAACUUCACCUAAACAAGAGGUGGAACUCUUAGAGCUGGAGGCCCGUACAAACAUCAUAUUUGGAGGACACAGCAGUGGCGUUUGGCACAAGAGGAAGAUGAGCGUGGCAUAUAGCGUCCGCUGUCAACAGCGUCAGUGGGAUGGGGCGCACCGUGGCACAACUUAAAAAGUGGCCGGGUAUCAAGGCACACAUUUCUAUUUUUAGUGAGCAUGUUUCUACAUUUUUCCUAGUUGAUACAUUUGAGAUGAAUAAAGCCUAGCCAUAUCUGGUUCAUUCAAAGGAUGCCAAGACUCAAAACAGCGAUGAAGUUGUGUCGAAAACUGCUGUAAUUAAUUUUGAAAAAACUAAUUAACACCAUCAAACUAUUCGUGAUAUUACAGAUAUUUUAGGAGGAACUAAUGUGUGUUAUUUCAAAGCCCAAUAAAAGAAACGGCCAUCAUUUGUGGAAAAUAAGAGAGGACAUUUACGCACACGGCUCUGACACGAUCCACUAAAAGAGGCCUUGCACGGUAAGUAAAUGUUGCUAUUGAUGACAUACUUGACAUUUGCAACGGAAAACUAGCCUAUUUUUUGAUCAACUGUCCAGAGAAAAGCAAGCAACAGAGCAACAACAUAUUAGCUCUGUCUUCUAAACUUAAAUCCUACAAUUAUUUGACAACCUGAUGUUUCUUGUAACUAAUAUUAAUGGAACACAAUGAUUGCAAAAUAAAAUGAAGCGCUGCUUUGUGUUUUUCAUGUGUCUUUCAGACGGGACACAAUACACUGGUGCGUAAUGGUGUUCAUGAUAGAUGAUAUCAGUGUCAGGUCAAUAACGGUGUGUUUUCAUGCGAUGAUGGAUACAUCUUUACUGGCUUCCAUUGCGUGUUUAUUUCUUAAAUAUUUCACAUCACCACUUCAAAAGUGUCACCUUUUUGCCAUGUCUCCAAAAAGUGCGUACAGCAACUCCAAAGGUGGCGUACCGGUGCACGCGUUCUCACGUCAAGUUGUGUUUUUAAAAGGUACCAUACUUGGCGUGGAAAACGGUGUAAGCAAGCUUUACAAGGCCCCUGGCCUUUGAAUGCAUCACAACUGGACUGUUCCGUUUUGUCUGAGGAAGUGUUCAUGUUCAGAAGGCUGGCUAGGACUGCUGUAGUCCAAGCAUGUCUUCUGUAAGUUGGAGCUAUGCACCAACCAAGACUGGUUUCUUGCAGAGCAAAACGUCAGUAAGAAACCGUGUGGCCUCUGACAAACAAUCACCCAAACCACCACAAAUAAAUGAAAAACUCCCACUUGCAUGCAUCAACAGGAACAGUUGGUCAAAUCCUAAUUUGUUCAGUCCUUCUUACCUCCAGGUGUGCACAAACUACACUUAGACUGAUCUUUCAGUGUCCAUCUGCACAUCACUAGCAUCCAGCACAUUUCCUCUUACAUCAUAUCUGCCAUUCACAGGCUUUUUGCUGGAAGCACAAGUGAACCAAACUGCACCGGGGUUCACUUGGAAGCAGACCAUCGCUCAAGGUCUCGAUCUGCUUGUUUGGGGAACACCAGGGUUGGGAUGGUCUAGUGGGGCGACGGCACCAGACUUCCUUUUUAACUGAAGCAAACAUGACAAGUGUGAACGCGCCCGUAAAAAAAGCACACACACACCAAGCAGCAAUACAGGCACUUUCCUCAAAAUGUUUUUUAUUAUUACAGAAAAUUUAAAUAGAAUUUCAAUACAUUCAGCUGAGAGGCUGGCGAGUCAACAAAAGGGCCUCGAGAUGGUAUAGUGUCCCGUACAGGAACCCUCUUGGUUUUUGGUAUAUUUUCUUUUUCUUAGAAAAACAAGUAGCUGGAAAAAAGGUUAGAAAUACAAUCCACUCUUGUGGCUUUUUCUCUUUUUGGACAAGCAAAGACGUUAGACUCCAGGAAGCAUCACUGAUGCACUUAAAGGUUUGAGAACAAAGCAGUCUUCUUUUGCAAGCUCAGUGCAGCCUGGAGGUCACAUCUUCCAAAGUAAAGCCUUCCUUUAUGUGUGUGACAUCAACACAGGCUACCGCGCUAAUUCAAAGAACAUUUGUGAGUAAAAUGACUUGAUAAAUAUGUCAAACAAUAUACUUGUUUCAUGAUUCAAUGGAAUGAUUAUGGAACACAGGAAGAACCGCCUCAGUGGGCCUCAUAUGACAUUAGACGCAUCUUCAGGUCACAAGUGCUAUAAAUAGGAUGCAUGGAUACACUUUAGUGCAUUGUGUGUGUGUGUGUGUGUGUGUGGUUAUUGUGCGCAUUGUGACUUUUGACACUAUUUAGAUUCCUUAAUAGUGCAGGAGUGCUCCAAGCGUAUCACACUAGACGCUUCUCAUAGGAACUGAGCUGGCUCUCAUAGAACGAGCCGCAGCAACAAGACCUCCACGGCCAGACUGUUUAUAUCAAAAUACACCAGUCAGACGUCCCCGUCUACGUCUGGGGACACGUGCUCAUGCUAUUGAGUGACAAGGUUUGUCAAAACGUUUGACUGGUACUGUGUUCCUUUUUCAAACAAGUCUUGAGGUUUUAUUUUUGUUUUUCUGCUUGCACGGUGGGCCGGAUUAAAGGCCAUCAUGGGCCAUACACGGGUCAAAUACAUGCCUGUCUGCCAUGUUUGCAGAUUCUUGUUGUUGGGCUCGACAUCCAGAAGUACUCCAGCUCAAAUGAAUACACGGCACCAAGUCCAGAAGUUUAGAGGCACAUUAUCGUGCUAUUGAAUGAGGAAAUGUCUCCAAACCUUUGACUGGCACUGGGAAAAAAGCUGCCAACUCAAUUCUGCUGAGAACACAGGGAAAAUGGCAUAUUCACACAAACGUUUGUGUGUGGUUCACACAUAUUUGAACAUAACAUCCAUGACCUUUUUGGCUUUUUAAAUACAGUACACCACACACACAGCAUAUCAUCUUAAUUAGACUCUCAUUGUCACUCAGCUGUUUAGGUGACGCUAUGAGCGUAGUCACAGUGCCCCAACAUCACUCAUCUAUUGCGUGACCCUCACACAAACACACGUUUUGCACUCAGAGGUCGACAUACAUUCUGUAGAAACAGUAAGAUGAAACUAGGGAUGCUCCAAUUGAUCGGACGAUUUCUGUCAAAAACGCGUGAUGGGCAUAUGCCGAUAAAUGCCUUUCAAAGCUGUUCACAAACACCCACGCGUGCAGCGACAAACCCUGCAUGUGUGCUGCGGCCCGUAGGCUUGCCAACACCCGUAUCGAGCCGACAAGGGACGCACUUUGUCCCGUACUGCCGUGAGAAUCCAAACUAGUCUGCAAACUUCAGUGGUUUCAGUUUGCCAUGUUGACAGACUACACCAAUCCAUGCCAGCAUGCUUGAUCACUCCUUUAUCAGACCUACUGCUGUUCCACUUUUCUUGCAUCUUUCUUUACACAUUUUGCCGAGCUGUUACUGGCGGCAGCUAGCUAGCCAGCUAGUUAUGCGCCUAGCUUCUGGUCUUCCGACUCCAAAUGGGACAUUUUGCUAAAGUGACAUUUUGUUUCUAAAAAUAGCAAUACGGUGAGUUGGGAGCUCAUUUUUGUUCAACGGCAAAGUGGACAUCACAUUCAUGGGGUACGUUCUAACUUUUUGAAAUGUCACUCAACUAUUUUGUCUUUGUUGUCAUGAUGCUAAUAAUGUCUUGUCCUUCAAACACUAUUUGUGUGCUUGUUCGAUGACCAUAAAGCCUUAUGACAGCGAUGCCAUCACAGGGGUCUCCUUAUGACGCCGAUGCCAU